rnacentral:misc_RNA from 1 species
GAUGAAGAACGUAGCGAAAUGCGAUAAGUAAUGUGAAUUGCAGAAUUCAGUGAAUCAUCGAAUCUUCGAACGCACAUUGCGCCCCUUGGUAUUCCGAGGGGCAUGCCUAUUCGAGCGUCAUUAUCACCACUCAAGCCUAGCUUGGUGUUGAGACCUGCUGUCAAGUCAGUCUCUAAAAUCAAUGGCAGUGCUGUCAGGCUCUAAGCGUAGUAAAUUCAUCGCUAUAGACACCUGGUGGCCACUCGCCAGAACCCCCCCAUUUUUUAAUGAUAGACCUCGGAUUAGGUAGGGAUACCCGCUGAACUUAAGCAUAUCAAUAAGCGGAGGA